rnacentral:rRNA from 1 species
AUGGCUAUUCUUCUCAGAGGCCUAUCACUCGUGCUUUGUGUCACCUUCUUCUCAGGCUGCCUCGUCUUCUCAGUCCCUUCCCUAGCUUCCUCCGAUGGCUUCCUCCAGUGCAUAAGGGAGAAGAUACCCAGCGAGCUCCUCUACACCCAGUGCAACGCCAACUUCACCGCCGUGCUGGCCUCCUCCGUUAGGAACCCCAAGUUCUUCACCAACACCACCGUGAGGCCGCUCUGCGUCGUCACGCCCACCCACUCCUCCCACGUCCAGGCCGCCGUGCUCUGCGGCCGCUGGCAGGGCGUGCGCCUCCGCGUGCGCAGCGGCGGCCACGACUACGAGGGCCUGUCCUACCGGUCGGCGCGGCCUGAGCUCUUCGGCCUGCUCGACCUCGCCAACCUCCGGGCCGUGAGCGUCAACCACUGGGAGUACACGGCCUGGGUCGACUCCGGCGCCACCAUCGGGGAGCUGUACUACGCCAUCGCCAAGAAUAACCCCGAGGCCGCGUUCCCGGCCGGCGAGUGCCCGAGCAUCGGUGUGGGCGGCCACUUCAGCGGCGGUGGCGUAGGCAUGAUGAUGCGCAAGUACGGUCUCUCCAUCGACAACAUCCUCGACGCCAAGCUGGUCAACGCCAACGGGGAUCUCCUCGACAGGGCCGGCAUGGGGGAGGACCUCUUCUGGGCCAUCCGAGGCGGCGGCGGCGGGAGCUUCGGCAUCGUGCUCUCAUGGAAGGUCCACCUCGUGCAGGUCCCACCCACGGUCACGGUGUUCAGCAUCGCAAAGACGCUUGCGCAGGGCGCCAUAGACAUCCUUACCAAAUGGCAAGACGUCGGGCCAUCGCUCCCCAACGACCUCGCGAUAACAGUGAUGCUCUCGGGGCAGCAAGCCGCGUUCCGGGCCAUGUACCUCGGCAGGUGCAGCUCGCUCGUGGCGACCAUGGGCGACCGGUUGCCGGAGCUCAACAUGACGAGCGCCGACUGCCAGCCCAUGACCUGGCUCCAGUCCACCGCCUUGUCCUUCAUCACCUUCACCAACAACAGACCGCUGGAGGAGGCGCUCCUCAGCAGGACCACCAGCCUCAGCACCUUCACCAAGGUCAAGUCCGACUACGUCACGCGCGCCAUCCCCAAGGCCGCGUGGAACGACAUCUUUUCCUGGUUCACCAUGAACGGCGCCGGGCUCAUCGUGCUCGAGCCCCACGGCGGGCUCAUGGCCACCAUCCCCACCGCCGCGACGCCGUACCCGCACCGGAGCGGCGUGCUCUACAUCAUCCAGUACAUCGCGUUCUGGCAGGGCGACGGUGGCAUGGCGGCCACCACCUGGCUCGCCAGCUUCUACGACUUCAUGGGGCACUACGUGAGCAGCAACCCUAGGCAGGCGUACGUCAACUUCCGGGACCUGGACAUUGGCCAGAACGUGGUGGCGGACGAAAUUACCACGUCCGAGAGCGGCAAGGUUUGGGGUGAGCGCUACUUCAUGAGCAACUACCAGAGGCUCGCGUCGGUGAAGGCCGCCGUGGAUCCCAUGGACUACUUCAGGAACGAGCAGAGCAUCCCCCCGUUGCGACCAGUCCCAGCCUACAACGACUACAACGACGACCCAAGUGAGCAGAGAUUCAUGCCAAGAGAUCCCAUUAAUUAG